rnacentral:rRNA from 1 species
AGUGAACGCUGGCGGUAGGCCUAACACAUGCAAGUCGAACGGCAGCACAGUAAGAGCUUGCUCUUACGGGUGGCGAGUGGCGGACGGGUGAGGAAGACAUCGGAAUCUACUUUUUCGUGGGGGAUAACGUAGGGAAACUUACGCUAAUACCGCAUACGACCUACGGGUGAAAGCAGGGGAUCUUCGGAACUUGCGCGAUUGAAUGAGCCGAUGUCGGAUUAGCUAGUUGGCGGGGGAAAGGCCCACCAAGGCGACGAUCCGUAGCUGGUCUGAGAGGAUGUACAGCCACACUGGAAGUGAGACACGGUCCAGACUCCUACGGGAGGCAGCAGUGGGGAAUAUUGGACAAUGGGCGCAAGCCUGAUCCAGCCAUACCGCGUGGGUGAAGAAGGCCUUCGGGUUGGAAAGCGCUUUUGUUGGGAAAGAAGAGCAGCAGGUUAAUACCCCGCUGUUCUGACGGUACCCAAAGAAUAAGCACCGGCUAACUUCGUG